rnacentral:misc_RNA from 1 species
AAGUCGUAACAAGGUAACCGUAGGUGAACCUGCGGUUGGAUCAUUAUUGAAUUCUUUUAUCUCUUUGGAGAUGAAAAGCUUUUUAGGGCUCUUUUGAACUUUGAAAGUCUUUAAAAGGACUGGAUAAGGGAUAAAAGUCCAUCUACCUUGUGUGAACUGUUUAUGACUUGAGUCUUUGGUUAGACCUCUAGUCUUUAUUGACUAGAACUAGCCUUUGAUUCUCUAUUUAAACGUUUUUGUUUUUAUUUUACGUUUUUCAUUUCAAUUCAAUUGAAAAAAAAACAACUUUUGACAACGGAUCUCUUGGCUCUC